GGGGUUGCUUUGUUUGCCCCAGCACUUUAAAAAAUACAGCUCUUUUUAGCGCCAGGAAGAACAGUUAAGGUUAAGGCAGUGAGGCGUUUUCUUGGAUCUUAGCAGCUGAAGGGUUCAUCUCUCCCCGUCAAGAGAAUACACACGGUAGGUAGUUUCUUAGGUUGGAAAAUCUGUCCCUGAAGGAAAUAAUUCUGCAGAAGAAUGCAAACGGAGUCAUCUAUGGUCAAUUGUUUGUGCCCUAUAGCUUUGAAAGAAACGCCUCUUGGUCAUCAAGGGCUUGCUGGUUGGUUUCAGCUGUAAAACAACAACAACAACAACAAAAAACAACCAGAAAAAAGAAAACAAACAAAAAAAUCUGUCUAGCGAGACAGAAAGAGCAGGGUUUACAAUAGUGCUGUGAGGCUGGGCUGUGCAAACCACAUGAGAAUACACACCAGUUUGCUUUUUAAAAAAUCCCACAUAGGGGCCCUGCAUAAUUUUAAAUCAAACUCUUUAUAGUCCUUAAAAUAACAAUACAGCGAGAGCCUCAUAAGGUCACGUGCUUUUUUUUCUUUUUUUUCUUUUUUGAGACAGAGUUUCGCUUUUGUUGCCCAGGCUGGAAUGCAGUGGCGCGAUCUCGGCUACUGUAACCUCCACCUCCCAGUUUCUAGCGAUUCUCCUGCCUCAGCCUCCCAAGAAGAUGGGAUUACAGGCGUGCGCUACCAUGCCUGGCUAAUUCUAUAUUUUUAGUAGAGAUAGGGUUUCACCAUGUUGGUCAGGCUGAUCUCAAACCCUGACCUCAAGUAAUCCACCCACCUCUUUUUUUUUUUUUUGAGACAGAGUUUCGCUCUUGUUGCCCAGGCUGGAGUGCAAUGGUGCGAUCUCAGCUCACUGCAACCUCCACCUCCCGGGUUCAAGCGAUUCUCCUGCCUCAGCCUCCUGAGUUGAGGCACGUGGAUUACUUGAGGUCAGAAUUCAAGACCAGCCUGACCAACAUGGUGAAACCCUGUCUCUACUAAAAAUACAGUAAUUGGCCAGACAUGGCAUGGUGGCUCACGCCUGUAAUCCCAGCACUUUGGGAGGCUGAGGCAGGAGAAUCGCUUGAACCCAGGAGGUGGAGGUUGCAGUGAGCCGAGAUUGCACCGCUGCACUCCAGCCUGGGCAACAGAGCAAGACUCUGUCUAAAAAAAAAAAAAAAA
rnacentral:lncRNA from 10 species